rnacentral:lncRNA from 1 species
UUAACUUAAACUUGAUGGAGAUUAUAGUAUUUUAGCAUGUCUUGUCAAUAACAAGCAAUCUCCUUAAACACAAGACGUUGAACUAAGAAGAAACCAUUUGAAAAUUUCAAUGCAAUAAUAGAACAACUGUUACACUUAUUUAUCUUACAAUUAAAUACCCAUCAAUACUUCUUCUUCUCUUCCACACUCAUAUCAACAACAACCACACACAAACAAAUCAUUUCCCAAAAUUCCAG